ACACACAUACACAUAAAUGCAUAGUAAAGGUUUCUGCCAACGUAACAUGACAGACUUGGUUUAGGACCAAUGUUGCUGUAGUUUAACCCCAGGAGACAUCGUCUCCAGCUGGCUAUAUGACAUGAUCUGUGUCCUUAUAUUUUCGAACAAGGGAAU